UAUCCAUAUAUUAAAAGAAUUUAUAUCCGGUUGUUAAUAUACUAAAAAGGUGCAUAAAUUUUAAUCCCAUUCCCUCUUUUAUUUUCUCACCACAUACGUCUGUCCAUGCUUCCCACUCCUCCAUAAAGAAAAUAGACUCUCCAUUUUUCUCAUUCCCAUCCUCUUCUAUUAGAAGUUAGAACUCGGGGACCUAAAUUUUCUCAGCAAUUAGAGUGAAUCGAGCGAUGGUUAGAGAUAAUUCAGCCAUGGUUGGAGAAAAUUAUGCAAGCACUCUUCUCUCCCAUUUUUGUUAGAGUAAGCUAAGAAGAGAUACAAUUCGGUGCGUCUCUCCCAGGACUACGAAAUCAACAUUUUCUUCUUACGACUUGUUGUGACUUUGCUUCAAUUGACAUUAUUGAGAUGCUAUCUUGGUGUUUUCAUCUCUUCAAGUCGUAUUGAAUGAGAGCCUUGGAGUAAUUGGUAAAGUUGCUGCCAUGUGAUCAGGAGGUCACGGAUCAAGCCUUGGAAAUAGCCUCUGGCAGAAAUGCAAGGUAAGGCUGCGUACAAUAGACCCUUAUAGUGGAAGCUUUAGUGCACCGAGCUGUCCUUUUAUUGAUAUUUUCACCAUCCUAAUUUGUUUUGUGUACUGAUUUGAU